GAUGAACGCUGGCGGCGUGCCUAAUACAUGCAAGUCGAACGCAUAGCGAAAGGUGCUUGCACCUUUCAAGUGAGUGGCGAACGGGUGAGUAACCCGUGGACAACCUGCCUCAAGGCUGGGGAUAACAUUUGGAAACAGAUGCUAAUACCGAAUAAAACUUAGUGUCGCAUGACACAAAGUUAAAAGGCGCUUCGGCGUCACCUAGAGAUGGAUCCGCGGUGCAUUAGUUAGUUGGUGGGGUAAAGGCCUACCAAGACAAUGAUGCAUAGCCGAGUUGAGAGACUGAUCGGCCACAUUGGGACUGAGACACGGCCCAAACUCCUACGGGAGGCUGCAGUAGGGAAUCUUCCACAAUGGGCGAAAGCCUGAUGGAGCAACGCCGCGUGUGUGAUGAAGGCUUUCGGGUCGUAAAGCACUGUUGUAUGGGAAGAACAGCUAGAAUAGGAAAUGAUUUUAGUUUGACGGUACCAUACCAGAAAGGGACGGCUAAAUACGUG
rnacentral:rRNA from 1 species